AGGGUCUCACUCUGUUGCCCAGGCUGGAGUGCAACGGUGCAAUCAUAGCUCACUGCAGACUCGAACUCCUGAGCUCAAGAGAUCCUCCUGUUUCGGCAUCCCAAAGUGCUAGGAUUACAGGCAUGAGACACUGCAUGCAGCCAAGAACAUAUGUUGACCUAAAACUGGCAUUCUGUGAUUGUAAUGGAAAACAGAUAAAGCAGGAGGAAGAUGUAGGAAGAUGAUACAUGGUCACACCAUGUUGCUCAGACUGGUCUUAAACUCCUGGACUCAACGGAUCCACCUGCCUUGAUCUCCCAAAGUGCUGAGAUUACAGAUGUGAGCCACCGUGCCUGGCCUAUCUCAUUUAAUCUUAACAGCACCCCUGUGAUGUAGCCACUAUUAUCAUACAUAUUUUACAAAUGAUGAAACAGGCUUACGAAGGUAGAGAAGUUACCCAGAAUGACUCAGGUGGGAAGCUAUGGGGCUGGACUUGAACUAAGGUAUACCUGACUCCAUGCUCUUAAGCCUGUUUGUUACUCAAUUUGACAUGUGUUCUAUUCACAGAUGCUGUAUUAGUCUGUUCCAUUCUCACAUUGCUAUAAAGAACUACCUGAUCACCCACUACCCACACGCACUUUGGGAGGCCAAGGUGGGAGGAUCGCUUG
rnacentral:lncRNA from 10 species